rnacentral:lncRNA from 1 species
CUCAAAAGGGAGUGGGAGAGGUGUAUUCAAUGCUCAAGAGGUGUUUUGGCUUGGAUUUGUUCAGCAGCAAUGAAUUGGGCGGGGGGGCAGAGGGGGUAUUUAUACUCGAACCCCCAAAACUAGCCGUUAUAGUGCAUUUAUGUGCCUGUCGGAACUUCCGACGAAGUUAAAUUAAAAUGGUUGAGAGCCUCUCCUCGAAAGUUUGAAGAAACUUCCGGUGGCCUUUAUCGGAACUUCCGACACAGGGUCAGAACUUCCGAUACUGUUAGAUUAAAUCGGCCGAGGACCCCCCGGUUGGAAAUUUCUGAAUACUUCCGGACGAUGCCGGAACUUCUGACACUCACAGAAUCUGUGAGAAAAUAGAUGUGCAGGUUUGUGAUUUGUGUCUCUCAAGGAUGGUUAGCAUCUCAAUUGAGCAUUUUAACAUCUUCAAGCUAUCCAUCUGCAUCCCCCUUUAUAAUACGGUGUUCUAUACUCAAAUUAAAAAUUAGAAAAUAUAGAGAAAUCUUCUUUUGAGCUCAACACCGUCCUUUCUUUGAAAUUGGGGGUGCUUAAGGUUCUUUCCAUACACCUUUGCACUUCUUUAGAAUUAAAACCUGUCAGUUACUUGAUAAAUUCGUUAGUCCCUUAAUCAUGCAUGUCAUCAACACCAAAACCCACUUAGGAAGCCAAAUGCACUUUCAAUCUCCC